rnacentral:tRNA from 1 species
GACCUUGUGGCCUAACGGAUAAGGUGUCUGACUUCGGAUCAGAAGAUCGCAGGUUCGAGUCCUGCCAGGGUUG